rnacentral:rRNA from 1 species
UGGGGAAUUUUGGACAAUGGGGGCAACCCUGAUCCAGCCAUGCCGCGUGAGUGAAGAAGGCCUUCGGGUUGUAAAGCUCUUUCGGCGGGGACGAAACGGUCCGUGACAACACCACGGACUAAUGACAGUACUCGCAGAAGAAGCACCGGCUAACUACGUGCCAGCAGCCGCGGUAAUACGUAGGGUGCAGGCGUUAAUCGGAAUUACUGGGCGUAAAGCGUGCGCAGGCGGCUCCUUAAGUCAGAUGUGAAAUCCCCGGGCUUAACCUGGGAACUGCGUUUGAAACUGAGGGGCUAGAGUGUGGAAGAGGGGGGUGGAAUUCCAGGUGUAGCAGUGAAAUGCGUAGAGAUCUGGAGGAACACCGAUGGCGAAGGCAGCCCCCUGGGCUAACACUGACGCUCAUGCACGAAAGCGUGGGGAGCAAACAGGAUUAGAUACCCGGGUAGUCCCUGAGCGGGCUGGCAAGGCGCAU